UACUUAAACCAUCGCGAACUCGUCCAAGUUGCUUCGGCGGCGCGGCCUCCCUCACGGGGGCGCCGCAGCCCCGCCUCUCCGGAGGUGUGGGGCGCCCGCCGGAGGUACGAAACUCUGUAUUAUAGUGGCAUCUCUGAGUAAAAAACAAAUAAGUUAAAACUUUCAACAACGGAUCUCUUGGUUCUGGCAUCGAUGAAGAACGCAGCGAAAUGCGAUAAGUAAUGUGAAUUGCAGAAUUCAGUGAAUCAUCGAAUCUUUGAACGCACAUUGCGCCCGCUAGUACUCUAGCGGGCAUGCCUGUUCGAGCGUCAUUUCAACCCUCAAGCCCUGCUUGGUGUUGGGGCCCUACGGCUGCCGUAGGCCCUGAAAGGAAGUGGCGGGCUCGCUACAACUCCGAGCGUAGUAAUUCAUUAUCUCGCUAGGGACGUUGCGGCGCGCUCCUGCCGUUAAAGACCAUCUUUAACUCAAGGUUGACCUCGGAUCAGGUAGGAAUACCCGCUGAACUUAAGCAUAUCAAUAAGCGGAGGAA
rnacentral:rRNA from 1 species